CCUGGCUCAGGAUGAACGCUAGCGGCAGGCUAACACAUGCAAGUCGAGGGCAGCACGGGUGGCAACACCUGGUGGCGACCGGCGCAAGGGUGCGUAACGCGUGAGCAACAUACCCGUCACAGGGGGAUAAGCGAUGGAAACGUCGUCUAAUACCGCAUAACACUUUGGGCGGCAUCGUCCGGAGUUGAAACUUACGAGGGUGACGGAUUGGCUCGCGAGACAUUAGCUAGUCGGCGGGGUAACGGCCCACCGAGGCAACGAUGUCUAGGGGUUCUGAGAGGAAGGUCCCCCACACUGGAACUGAGACACGGUCCAGACUCCUACGGGAGGCAGCAGUGAGGAAUAUUGGACAAUGGCCGGAAGGCUGAUCCAGCCAUGCCGCGUGAAAAGGAUGAAGGUCCUAUGGAUUGUAAACUUCUUUUGUACGGGAGCAAUAAGGGCGUCGAGACGUCCGAUGAGAGUACCGUACGAAUAAGCAUCGGCUAACUCCGUGCCAGCCGCUGC
rnacentral:rRNA from 1 species